rnacentral:rRNA from 1 species
GACGAACGCUGGCGGCGUGCUUAACACAUGCAAGUCGAGCGGUAAGGCCUUUCGGGGUACACGAGCGGCGAACGGGUGAGUAACACGUGGGUGAUCUGCCCCGCACUUCGGGAUAAGCCUGGGAAACUGGGUCUAAUACCGGAUAUGACCUCCUAUCGCAUGGUGGGUGGUGGAAAGAUUUAUCGGUGCAGGAUGGGCCCGCGGCCUAUCAGCUUGUUGGUGGGGUAAUGGCCUACCAAGGCGACGACGGGUAGCCGACCUGAGAGGGUGACCGGCCACACUGGGACUGAGACACGGCCCAGACUCCUACGGGAGGCAGCAGUGGGGAAUAUUGCACAAUGGGCGAAAGCCUGAUGCAGCGACGCCGCGUGAGGGAUGACGGCCUUCGGGUUGUAAACCUCUUUCAGCAGGGACGAAGCGCAAGUGACGGUACCUGCAGAAGAAGCACCGGCUAACUACGUG